AAAAGCUAACGGUAGAUUAUGACAUAAUGGAUUCAAUUACUUUCGACAAAUUGUUGUCUUUGGGCUAUCAACACAACCUUGUUAUUUUUCUCUCCAACACAGCGUUGCUAAUAAUGUGAUAAAAAGACAACAACAACUACCUUGGCACUACGGAAGGGCGACAUGUCGGUGACUAAAUGAAGCAUAAGGCAGAGAACGUAGAAUUAUAAUUGUGUUAAAAUACCGCCUCUAAUUUGACAGCUUUCGAGUAAUUUGACGUAGAAGAAAUUAAAAAACAAAGGAAAGUGAGAAUAUUGAAUUCAUUUGAAAUUGGCGCCUUUUAGUCUGAAAUCAUUUUAACAAAAAUAUUAUUUUCCAUAAAAAUAAUGCGUAUUCUUAAUUCGUGCAUAUUGGAAUUACGUGAGCACAAAGGUAGAAAAUUUCUAUGCGAUCUAAAAUUUGAAAAGUCAUCAGAUGAGAGAUUUAAUACAGAAGAACAGCGGGACUUCCGUUGGUUAGAUAGAUCAGAUUGGAAAACAUUUGACGCUCAGUUGGAUAAGA